rnacentral:lncRNA from 1 species
UGACUCUAUGAGGUGUAUGGACACUCAUAGUUAUGUUCUAGAUUGCUUAAGUUCCUUGAUGAUGUUAUGUUGUUUUGGUCGAGAUCAUGUGUCGGGAGAAAUAUUGAAUGAAUCAAAACCUUAUGAGAGGAUUUGAUAUGGAAUAUAGUAACCAGAACCGAAUGUUGUCAAACUAAUUUGGUUUAGAUGCACCAAACACAUGAUGAAUUUGGAUGUUCUAUGUUUUUAUGGUUGUAGCAAUGUAACUCCU